GAUGAACGCUGGCGGCGUGCCUAAUACAUGCAAGUCGAGCGAAUGGAUUAAGAGCUUGCGCUUAUGAAGUUAGCGGCGGACGGGUGAGUAACACGUGGGUAACCUGCUCAUAAGACUGGGAUAACUCCGGGAAACCGGGGCUAAUACCGGAUAACAUUUUGAACCGCAUGGUGCGAAAUUGAAAGACGGCUUCGGCUGUCACUGAUGGAUGGCCCCGCGUCGCAUUAGCUAGUUGGUGAGGUAACGGCUCACCAAGGCAACGAUGCGUAGCCGACCUGAGAGGGUGAUCGGCGACACUGGGUCUGAGACACGGCCCAGACUCCUACGGGAGGCAGCAGUAGGGAAGCUUCCGCAAUGGACGAAAGUCUGACGGAGCAACGCCGCGUGAGUGAUGAAGGCUUUCGGGUCGUAAAACUCUGUUGUUAGGGAAGAACAAGUGCUAGUUGAAUAAGCUGGCACCUUGACGGUACCUAACCAGAAAGCCACGGCUAACUACGUGCCAGCCGCCGCGUAA
rnacentral:rRNA from 1 species